UCCAGAGAUGGAUUGGUGCCUUCGGGAACGCUCAGACAGGUGCUGCAUGGCCGUCGUCAGCUCGUGUUGUGAAAUGUUGGGUUAAGUCCCGUAACGAGCGCAACCCUUGUCCCUAUUUGCCAGCGAUUCGGUCGGGAACUCUAGGGAGACUGCCGGUGACAAACCGGAGGAAGGUGGGGACGACGUCAGGUCAUCAUGGCCCUUACGAGUAGGGCUACACACGUGCUACAAUGGCCGGUACAAUGGGCUGCAAUCCCGCCAAGGGGGGCCAUACUUACUAAGCCGGUUUCAGUCCGGAUCGGAGUCUGCAACUCGACUCCGUGAAGUCGGAAUCGCUAGUAAUCGUGCAUCAGAAUGGCACGGUGAAUACGUUCCCGGGACUUGUACACACCGCCCGUCACACCAUGGGAGUGGACUGCACCAGAAGUGGUUAGCCUAACUUCGGAGGGCGA
rnacentral:rRNA from 1 species